GCAAAGUGAUGCAACGUGAGAAGGACUCAACACACCAUUGCUGGCUUUGAAGAUGGAGGAAGGGGCCAUGAGCCAAUAAAUGCAGGUGACCACUAAAAAUUGGAAAAGGUCAUCCCCGUGCUUCCCAGCCAGCAUCUGCAGCUCCUCAUACUUGAUCUGACGAAAUGCUCUCAGCCUCAGCCCGGCUGCGGUUGGCGAUCUCCUCGGGCUGCACCUUGACCUCAGCGAGCGGCUGUUGAACAUGGACAGCAACACAGACGAGUCUGAGAUCUGGGACUGCAGCUCCCUCGUCUCCUCUUCAUACAGGUACCUGAGGAAGUUGAUCUCGUCAGUCAGCCCCUGCAGUCCUCCACCAGCCCCUGCAUGUUGCCAAGCUCCACCUCCAGCUUCAGCUUCUCCUGGCCCAGAGUCUCUGCCCCCUAAGGUUGUCAGCAUAACUCUCGGAGAUGUCCAUGUUGCUCUGAGCCAUCUUCUGCUACUGCAGGAGGCUCCACUUGGUCUCCAGCAUCUUGUGCUGCUGCUCCAGGAACUGUUCUUUGCCGAUGAAGGAGGCAAACUUGCUGAGUCUCUUGAUCUGCUCCUUCUCCUGGGUGUGUGCGGCCUGGAUGUUGGGGUCCACCUCCAGGUUAAGGGGGCUCAGCAGGCUCUGGUUGACUAUGAUGGUGGUGAUGCCUCCCAUGCCACUGGCCUCACCAUAGCCUCUGCCCAGGCCACCCGGGAAGCUGCUGCUGCCCAGCUGGGAGAAACUUGAGGAGCUGAUGCAGGCACUGGGCCCACUCGUGUAGGAGUGGCUGCUGAAGGCCCGGGGGCCAGAGGUGGACACCUUGUAGGACUUCUGGGUCAUCCUGAUGGGCGCGGUGGAGGUAGGAAUGGAGGCAGGCAGGCUGAACCAGGAGGAGAUUCCAGAAGGAGCAGAGAUGGGUUGUUUUUGUUUUUGUUGUUGUUGUUAUUGUUUAUGAGAUCGGGUCUUGCUAUGUUACCCAGGCUGGUCUUGAACUCCUGGGCUCAAGAAAUUCUCCCACCUCGGCCUCCCAAAGUGCUGGGAUUACAGGUGUAAGCCAUGGUGCUCAGCCUAGAUUUUGCAUCUGGUUCCUUUGCUCAACAUUGUUUGUAAGAUUUAUCCAGGUUUUUCUUGUAGCAAUAAUUCAUUUUCAUUGCUGUACAUUAUUCCAUUGGGUACAUACCACAACUUUUCUUUUGUAUUUUGUUUGGUGUUCCUAGUUCUUAGCAGGAGCAUUAGGCUGCUCCAGGCUACUCAGUCAUGGCCCGAAGCAGAAGUCCACUUAUUUAUUUUUGUUAAAUUCCAAGAAGUAGAAUUCCUGACAAAAAAGAAACAAAUAUUUUUUAGACCAUUUCUGCACACUGCUAAUUGUUUUCCAUAAAAGCUGUGACAAUUUACACUCAAGAAAAAUCAUGAAGUUCUUCUGAGGGAUGAGUGUCAGGAGUCAUCCUAAUAAUAACAAAAAGUUUUAAAUCUUAAUAGUAUUGAAUAGUGUCAAUAUUAUCUUAAAGCUGUCUCAUAUAUAAAUUGUAAAUAUUAAAAUGCUGGUAUCAUUUCAUAAAGUUUUUUUGUGCCAAUUUAUUAUUUAAUUCUCACAAAACUCUGAGAGGUAUAUUUUAUUGCUGUCCCAUUUUAAAAAACGAAGAAACUAUGGCUCAGAAGAUGUUGGGGUCCACCUCCAGGUUAAGGGGGCUCAAAUGUCCUGGCUAUGUGACCUGGCAGAUGACCAGCAGAUAGUCUUUCUUUCUCA
rnacentral:lncRNA from 13 species